CCUACGGGAGGCAGCAGUGGGGAAUAUUGGACAAUGGGCGCAAGCCUGACGCAGCAACGCCGCGUGAAGGAAGAAGGGCCUCGGCUCGUAAACUUCUUUUAUUCGGGACGAAACAAAUGACGGUACCGGAUUAAUAAGCCACGGCUAACUACGUGCCAGCAGCCGCGGUAAUACGUAGGUGGCAAGCGUUAUCCGGAUUUACUGGGUGUAAAGGGCGAGUAGGCGGGAUGGCAAGCCAGACGUGAAAGUCCAGGGCUUAACCCUGGAACUGCGUUUGGAACUGUUAUGCUUGAGUGAUGGAGAGGCAGGCGGAAGUCCGGGUGUAGCGGUGAAAUGCGUAGAUAUAAGGAGGAACACCAGUGGCGAAGGCGGCCUGCUGGACAGUAACUGACGCUGAGGCGCGAAAGCGUGGGGAGCGAACAGGAUUAGAUACCCUUGUAGUC
rnacentral:rRNA from 1 species